UACGAAGGGGGCUAGCGUUGCUCGGAAUUAUUGGGCGUAAAGGGCGCGUAGGCGGCAUGACAAGUCACUUGUGAAAUCUCCGGGCUUAACUCGGAACGGUCAAGUGAUACUGUCGCGCUAGAGUGCGGAAGGGGCAAUCAGAAUUCUUGGUGUAGCGGUGAAAUGCGUAGAUAUCAAGAGGAAUACCUGAGGUGAAGACGGGUUGCUAGGCCGACACUGACGCUGAAGCGCGAAAGCCAGGGGAGCAAACGGG
rnacentral:rRNA from 1 species